AGUACUUCUUUUGUGGUUGAUCUAAACAUUAUUUAUAACAAUUCUGUUAAAGCUGUCCAAACAAGCACUCUCUGUACAGUUUCGUUGGUGAAAUUUAGUGUAUUUUAAUCGUAGGAUUUUGAAUGCAGUGUGAUAGGUUUUAUAACAUUUCCCACUCUGAACACAAUAGUGCAAUUCACCUUGAUGUAAAUAAGUACCAUAGGGUGGUGGUACAAUUCACUGCUGUAAAUAAUUAUAACAUUACACAAUUCAUGUACAAUUUCAUUCAUUUACAUUACUGUGUUUGUCAUGGGUAUAACUGCAAGAGAGAGAGAGAGAUUGGUUCAAUGAAAAUGACUUAUAAAUCAUAUCAAAACAAAGUCCUUGGUGAUAUUCCAAAUACCCAAUAUGAGAUGGGAAUUCCUAGCCAUAAAGUAUGAAAUAAAUACCAUAUUGUAGCAAUAAUUUUGGGUUUCUCCAAUUGAAUUUUUUACCAGAAUUCCACAUUGUAGUCAUUAUCAUCAUCAUCGUCAUAACAUCCACUUUUCCAAGCUUGCAUAAAUUACAGUUAUGGCUAUACUAAAAUUAUUUUUUUUUUUUGCAAUUUUUGUUUUUAAGUAUUUAACAUAAUGAAUAAUUCUUUUGAGACUCCUAAAAUCUUGAUAAUGUGUAUAUGUGUGUGUUUGUGUUUGUGUAAUUUGUAACUGCUUGUUUGAUUUUUUUAUUGCUGCAUAACAAUAUUGUUCCAGUGGAGAAGA